UGAUGUUGGAAUCUCUCUUGCAGCAAUUCUCUUCGAAUUCUUUGCUUGGCUUCAGCUUGUACACCUGCAGGGACGGAGAGCUCACUACCUCCCUGGGGAUCUAGCUCUGGCUGCAUCAGUAUGAAAACACUCCCUCAAGUUUGUGGAGUGCUUAAUAAGUCUUCAAGACUCAGAGUGGUUUCCUGGGAAACAGAGCAGCUUGCUCAGCCCCCAGGGACAUGGUGUGGUCUGGAUUACAAGUGAAGAAAUUUAGAAAGAGCCAAAAACCUCACGUUUUGUUGCCACGGGAGAGAGGACAUGUUGUGGACCCACAAGCAGAGGCUUAUUGUGCUGGAUCUUCCCUACCAGAUGAGACCGAAAUCAAAGGCCUGAAAUUGCAACUGGAAACAUUUCUUCCAACAACUCGAGGGAAGAAAUCGUGACAGCUUAAACUACGGUUACAGGAUGGGAGAAGCAGGCAAGAUGAAGGCUCUGAAAAGACUUCGUGGCAGUUGUUUCUGGAUUUCAGAGUGUGCUUUUGGAUUGUCGUCGCCACAGGCCCCUUUGAUAACGGUAGAUGAGACAUACUCC